UACGUAGGGUGCAAGCGUUGUCCGGAAUUAUUGGGCGUAAAGAGCUCGUAGGCGGUCUGUCGCGUCGGCUGUGAAAACCCGGAGCUCAACUCCGGGCCUGCAGUCGAUACGGGCAAACUAGAGUACUGCAGGGGAGACUGGAAUUCCUGGUGUAGCGGUGAAAUGCGCAGAUAUCAGGAGGAACACCAAUAGCGAAGGCAGCUCGCUGGGACGUUACUGACGCUGAGGCGCGAAAGCGUGGGGAGCGAACAGG
rnacentral:rRNA from 1 species